rnacentral:lncRNA from 1 species
GGAGAAUUCACAGACAGAAAAUAGUGUCAAUAAGGACCAUACUGCAUUUGCAUCACUGUUUUCUGUUGCUGGAAAUGUAGAUAUGGCAAGAGAAGGAGUAAUGCUGGCUGAAAUCUCAGGUCCAGAUGGUGACUGUCCCCAAUACAGAUGAAUAAUGAAGGUGGAGGAAGAGCAUCUGCUCCUCCUCUCAGUCUGAAGCCAUAGGUUUUAUAAUUGUAUCUUUUACAGUCCCCAUAGUGUAGUAAGAUUCCUAGGAAUUUCUUGAAAGAAAUUCAGGUGUUAACACUGACUGACUCCUUGGUCUAGCAUGUCUGUUUGAACACUUUUGGCAUUCAAUUUCUAUUUGAAAGAAAGUAAGUUGAUGUUUUGAUGAUACUGAUCUGUAGACCUUCUUCUGAGGAUUACUGUAAGUUACUAAACACCAUUACCUAGGAUAUCUGGUACUUAGGUACUUCUGUGUAAUCAGAAUGGUGUUUUCCAUCCAUGAACUUACCUCCUGCAAUAAGGCAGGAAGAGCCAGGAUUUCCACCAGAAAAUCCUGUCUAGGUUUGCUGGGAAAGGAAUGGGGUGAACAUAGCCCCAGAGCUGAAAGCUGGUAUCUGAGCCUUAAGUUAAGGACCUUAAGUUGCAUUAAAGAGUGGUAGCUGCCUUUCCAUGCUAAGCCCUAUUCUCCAGACAGGAUGACUUUCUGCACAAGACAGCCCUGCUCCAACCUGUUACAAGCACAUCCACCAUUACCCCUCCUGAAGGGCUCUGUUCAGGUGUAGUGCUUUAUUACACGUCAAAUCCCAUGCUGUUUUACAACAUGGUUUCCAUGGUUACCCACCACCCCCUGUAACCCAUGGAGCCCGUAAAGAGACAGGAUUGCAAUUCACAGUGGCAGGAGCUGUCAUGUGCAGAGAUGGAGCAAUCCAGAAAGCGCUUUCAAAUCCGUGUCCCCUCCUGACCCCAUCUACUCACGGUCUCUGGCAGCAGCCUGUAAUGCCCUGUGCUUCAGAGAAAAGUGAGUUUGUCCUCUGCUCCUGCCCCUGCACAUCAGAGAUUCUCAUGUUCUGCACAGGGCUCAACCCAUGGCUGAAACCAGAGGUGCACAGGCCAUGGGAGUGCAGCUCCACUUUCUCCAAGAAUAGCAACGUAGGUCGUGGGAAGCAGUGUGCUGGCAUGAGCUGUAUGCCAUGGAGGGCUGAGGCACAGGGAGGAGAAGAUGUGAACCACAAGGCUCUGCCCUGAAUAAAGUCAGAGAGUGUAUAAAAAUGCAUGAGGCUAAAAGUCAGCUGAGCUGAAAGGAGCCGAUUUGUGAAAUAACUUUGCUGAGAAAAUGGCAGUUGUUGUUCUUGGAGGGCAGAAGGAGGACAACGUACACCUGCUUGAGCCACCGAUUCCACCCAACUCUUGGCACACUACUGGUGCUACCCUGCUCUACUGGCUUAAUAUAUCUUUUUAGAUAGUUUAAUACAUCUUUUUAGGUGAUGCUCACCUCUUUG